GUGCCCUUUUAAGGUUGUCAAGGUACUUUAAGAGGUUAACCCAGAAGGGUAAAGGAAGUCUCCGUAAAACCCAAAGAGGAAAACUGCACCUCCUCUUUGGAUCCUGUCUGGAGUCACAAAU